rnacentral:rRNA from 1 species
GUCCACGCCGUAAACGAUGGGUGCUUGGUGUCGGGGUAUCGACCCCUCCGGUGCCGAAGCUAACGCAUUAAGCACCCCGCCUGGGGAGUACGGUCGCAAGGGCUGAAACUCAAAGGAAUUGACGGGGCCCGCACAAGCGGUGGAGCAUGUGGUUCAAUUCGAUGCAACGCGAAGAACCUUACCUGGGUUUGAAGAGUGAUGGAACGGCGAUGAAAGUCGCUCUCCCCGCAAGGGGCCGUCACUUAGGUGCUGCAUGGCUGUCGU